rnacentral:rRNA from 1 species
ACGUAGGGUGCGAGCGUUAAUCGGAAUUACUGGGCGUAAAGGGCUCGUAGGCGGCCCACUAAGUCAGAUGUGAAAUCCCCAGGCUCAACCUGGGAACUGCAUCUGAUACUGGUGGGCUUGAAUUCGGGAGAGGGAUGCAGAAUUCCAGGUGUAGCGGUGGAAUGCGUAGAUAUCUGGAGGAAUACCGGUGGCGAAGGCGGCAUCCUGGACCGACAUUGACGCUGAGGAGCGAAAGCUAGGGGAGCAAACGGGA